rnacentral:lncRNA from 1 species
GGGAACAUGGCUGGGAACCACGCCGCGCCGCCACCUCUCCAUUCCGCGGCGGUCGACGAUCCGGUUCGCGUCCCCCGCCAGCGCCGCCCCCCAAUCCUCGCCGACGCCAUCGCCAUGGCCGACCAAAUGGAAGGAAGGAAGGUUGGAGAAGGGGCGGAAAUCGAAGGGGAGAUUGGGGAUUCAGGAUUGGGGAUGGAGACAGAGAGAUGCUUGAGUAACAAGAAAUCGGCCGACCGCCAUACGUCUCGGAUUCAAAAAUUAGGGAAGUACUAAUUGCCAGACUGGCAACUCGAGUACGAGAUCAAGUCGGUAACCUGGUUUUAUUACCUCGGAUCACAAUUUGGGCUAACCCUGGAUCAAAUUUUCGCUUCUGCGCGAGAACUUGACCCUCUCUCC